CGAAACAGUGAUGUGAGCGAAACUCAAAAAAGUAAGUCUCAGUUCGGAUUGAAGGCUGAAAUUCGCCUUCAUGAAGCCGGAAUUGCUAGUAAUGGCAGGUCAGCAUACUGCCGUGAAUACGUUCCCGGGCCUUGUACACACCGCCCGUCACACCAUGGGAGUUUGUAACGCCCAAAGUCGGUGGCCUAACCUUUAUGGAGGGAGCCGCCUAAGGCGGGACAGAUGACUGGGGUGAAGUCGUAACAAGGUAUC
rnacentral:rRNA from 1 species